rnacentral:rRNA from 1 species
AUUGAACGCUGGCGGCAGGCCUAACACAUGCAAGUCGAGCGGAUGACGGGAGCUUGCUCCUUGAUUCAGCGGCGGACGGGUGCGUAAUGCCUAGGAAUCUGCCUGGUAGUGGGGGACAACGGUUCGAAAGCAACGCUAGUACCGCAUACGUCCUACGGGAGAAAGCAGGGGACCUUCGGGCCUUGCGCUAUCAGAUGAGCCUAGGUCGGAUUAGCUAGUUGGUGGGGUAAUGGCUCACCAAGGCGACGAUCCGUAACUGGUCUGAGAGGAUGAUCAGUCACACUGGAACUGAGACACGGUCCAGACUCCUACGGGAGGCAGCAGUGGGGAAUAUUGGACAAUGGGCGAAAGCCUGAUCCAGCCAUGCCGCGUGUGUGAAGAAGGUCUUCGGAUUGUAAAGCACUUUAAGUUGGGAGGAAGGGCAGUAAGUUAAUACCUUGCUGUUUUGACGUUACCGACAGAAUAAGCACCGGCUAACUCUGUGCCAGCAGCCGCCGUAA